rnacentral:lncRNA from 1 species
GAUGUUCAUAUAUUUAGAUAAACAGUUAAAGAUUACAAAUUUUGAAAAAACACUAGCCAUGUGAUUAGAAGAGGCAAUUUCGGCCCAUUUGAUCGGGUCAACCCAUUAUAUAUUAUCUCUAAAGAUCAGGUUCAGAAAAAAGUUCGCUAAAAAAGAAAAAGAUCAUACGGGCCAAACAGAACGCAAGUUUCUCAAUGCGUAAGUACCUCCUAAAUCAAAACGUACCAGUAUAUGACCCAUUUUGACCCGUGACCGACUCACCUUAUGCAAGGAAACUUUAUUUGACUCUCUUUCCUAAUGUCACACUCCAUUCACAGAAGUGUAUUAUCCAAUUACUCUACUCUUAAUGGAGUAAUAACAGCAGAAAUAACGUCAAGAAAUUCAAACAAAACAGUGAAAACAACGAAUGCCAUUAACACCAAUAACUAUAAGUAGGGCUGACAAUUUUACACGAAUACACGACACGAACUUACACGAAGUUAACAGGUAUCGUGUACCAAACAGGUAGACACGAGAUUACCUGUUAAUUUUCGUGUAUAAACAGGUUAAAUACCUGUUUACCUGUUAAUACCCGUUAGUACACGAUAAGAAUUAAAUUAAGUAAAACUCAUCAGCCAUGUGCGUGUGGGUUCCUUAAUUCCUUUCUAUUUUCAUUCCUCAUUCAAUUCAAAAAAAAAAAAAAAAAAAAACCCUAAACUCCCUCUGUAACUUUCAGAUAACAUGUCGUAUUCGUGUUUUUGUUCGUGUUAACAGGUAUUAACAGGUAAUUUUCGUGUAUAACAGUCGAAUAGACGUGUUAACAGGUAUUAACAGGUAAAUUUCGUGUAUAUCGUGUCGUGUUCGUGUUCGUGUUGAAAAAAAGGACACGAUAAGUUAUCGUGUCGUGUUCGUGUAUGGGGUUUCGUGUAUCGUGUCUUAUCGUGUCGUGUCUUAUCGUCUUUGCUAUUUGUGGGAUUUACUGGGUACGGUUGUUGUUGUUGUUGUAA